rnacentral:rRNA from 1 species
GACGAACGCUGGCGGCGUGCCUAAUACAUGCAAGUCGAGCGCAGGAAACUGACGGAACUCUUCGGAGGGAAGGCAGCGGAAUGAGCGGCGGACGGGUGAGUAACACGUAAGGAACCUGCCUCAAGGAUUGGGAUAACUCCGAGAAAUCGGAGCUAAUACCGGAUAGUUCAUCGGACCGCAUGGUCCGUUGAUGAAAGGCGCUCCGGCGUCACCUUGAGAUGGCCUUGCGGUGCAUUAGCUAGUUGGUGGGGUAACGGCCCACCAAGGCGACGAUGCAUAGCCGACCGGAGAGGGUGAUCGGCCACACUGGGACUGAGACACGGCCCAGACUCCUGCGGGAGGCAGCAGUAGGGAAUCUUCCACAAUGGACGAAAGUCUGAUGGAGCAACGCCGCGUGAGUGAUGAAGGUUUUCGGAUCGUAAAACUCUGUUGUAAGGGAAGAACACGUACGAGAGGAAAUGCUCGUACCUUGACGGUACCUUACGAGAAAGCCACGGCUAACUACGUGCCAGCAGCCGCCGUAA